AGAGAAAUGGCAGAGUGGUCGAAUGCACUGGUCUUGAAAACCAGCGUACCGUGAGGUACCGGGGGUUCGAAUCCCUCUUUCUCUGCGA
rnacentral:tRNA from 1 species